rnacentral:rRNA from 1 species
GGAUUAGAUACCCUGGUAGUCCACACCGUAAACGAUGAAUGCCAGUCGUCGGGUAGCAUGCUAUUCGGUGACACACCUAACGGAUUAAGCAUUCCGCCUGGGGAGUACGGUCGCAAGAUUAAAACUCAAAGGAAUUGACGGGGGCCCGCACAAGCGGUGGAGCAUGUGGUUUAAUUCGAUGGUACGCGAGGAACCUUACCAGGGCUUAAAUGGUAUUGGACCGUUGCCGAAAGGUGACUUUCUUUUAGACUGAUAUCAAGGUGCUGCAUGGCUGUCGUCAGCUCGUGCCG